rnacentral:rRNA from 1 species
UGGGGAAUUUUGGACAAUGGGGGAAACCCUGAUCUAGCCAUCCCGCGUGUUCGAUGAAGGCCUUCGGGUUGUAAAGCACUUUUGGUAGGAAAGAAACGUCAUGGGUUAAUACCCCGUGAAACUGACGGUACCUGCAGAAUAAGCACCGGCUAACUACGUGCCAGCAGCCGCGGUAAGACGUAGGGUGCAAGCGUUAAUCGGAAUUACUGGGCGUAAAGCGUGCGCAGGCGGUUCGGAAAGAAAGAUGUGAAAUCCCAGAGCUCAACUUUGGAACUGCAUUUUUAACUACCGGGCUAGAGUGUGUCAGAGGGAGGUGGAAUUCCGCGUGUAGCAGUGAAAUGCGUAGAUAUGCGGAGGAACGCCGAUGGCGAAGGCAGCCUCCUGGGAUAACACUGACGCUCAUGCACGAAAGCGUGGGGAGCAAACAG